UCAUAUCAAAGGUAUGAAAAAGU
rnacentral:piRNA from 1 species